UACGUAGGGUGCGAGCGUUGUCCGGAAUUAUUGGGCGUAAAGGGCUCGUAGGCGGUUUGUCGCGUCGGGAGUGAAAACACCGGGCUUAACUCGGUGCUUGCUUUCGAUACGGGCAGACUAGAGGCAUGCAGGGGAGAACGGAAUUCCUGGUGUAGCGGUGAAAUGCGCAGAUAUCAGGAGGAACACCGGUGGCGAAGGCGGGUUCUCUGGGCCGA
rnacentral:rRNA from 1 species